AUUGAACGCUAGCGGGAUGCCUUACACAUGCAAGUCGAACGGCAGCACGGACUUCGGUCUGGUGGCGAGUGGCGAACGGGUGAGUAAUGUAUCGGAACGUGCCUAGUAGCGGGGGAUAACUACGCGAAAGCGUAGCUAAUACCGCAUACGCCCUACGGGGGAAAGCAGGGGAUCGCAAGACCUUGCACUAUUAGAGCGGCCGAUAUCGGAUUAGCUAGUUGGUGGGGUAACGGCUCACCAAGGCGACGAUCCGUAGCUGGUUUGAGAGGACGACCAGCCACACUGGGACUGAGACACGGCCCAGACUCCUACGGGAGGCAGCAGUGGGGAAUUUUGGACAAUGGGGGAAACCCUGAUCCAGCCAUCCCGCGUGUGCGAUGAAGGCCUUCGGGUUGUAAAGCACUUUUGGCAGGAAAGAAACGUCAUGGGUUAAUACCCCGUGAAACUGACGGUACCUGCAGAAUAAGCACCGGCUAACUACGUGCCAGCAGCCGCGGUAAUACGUAGGGUGCAAGCGUUAAUCGGAAUUACUGGGCGUAAAGCGUGCGCAGGCGGUUCGGAAAGAAAGAUGUGAAAUCCCAGAGCUUAACUUUGGAACUGCAUUUUUAACUACCGAGCUAGAGUGUGUCAGAGGGAGGUGGAAUUCCGCGUGUAGCAGUGAAAUGCGUAGAUAUGCGGAGGAACACCGAUGGCGAAGGCAGCCUCCUGGGAUAACACUGACGCUCAUGCACGGAAGCGUGGGGAGCAAACAGG
rnacentral:rRNA from 1 species